AUUGAACGCUGGCGGCAGGCCUAACACAUGCAAGUCGGACGGUAGCACAGAGAGCUUGCUCUCGGGUGACGAGUGGCGGACGGGUGAGUAAUGUCUGGGUAUCUGCCCGAUAGAGGGGGAUAACCACUGGAAACGGUGGCUAAUACCGCAUAACGUCGCAAGACCAAAGGGGGGCACCUUCGGGCCUCUCACUAUCGGAUGAACCGAGAUGGGAUUAGCUAGUAGGCGGGGUAACGGCCCACCUAGGCGACGAUCCCUAGCUGGUCUGAGAGGAUGACCAGCCACACUGGAACUGAGACACGGUCCAGACUCCUACGGGAGGCAGCAGUGGGGAAUAUUGCACAAUGGGCGCAAGCCCGAUGCAGCCAUGCCGCGUGUAUGAAGAAGGCCUUCGGGUUGUAAAGUACUUUCAGCGGGGAGGAAGGCGAUGUGGUUAAUAACCGCGUCGAUUGACGUUACCCGCAGAAGAAGCACCGGCUAACUCCGUGCCAGCAGCCGCAGUAA
rnacentral:rRNA from 1 species